rnacentral:rRNA from 1 species
UACGGAGGGGGCUGGCGUUGUUCGGAAUUACUGGGCGUAAAGCGCACGUAGGCGGCUUUGUAAGUUAGAGGUGAAAGCCCGGGGCUUAACCCCGGAAUAGCCUUUAAGACUGCAUCGCUUGAACACGGGAGAGGUGAGUGGAAUUCCGAGUGUAGAGGUGAAAUUCGUAGAUAUUCGGAAGAACACCAGUGGCGAAGGCGGCUCACUGGACCGUUGUUGACGCUGAGGUGCGAAAGCGUGGGGAGCAAACAGG